AAGAUAUCGACUCAAACAUUUUCUCCUAAAUCAAAAAAAGAAAAAAAAAAUCUUUGAAGAACUCUCAACCUUUGAAAGUGUUUCGAUCUCUUCCAAAUUUUACACAAACGGAUCCAAUUCAUUAACAUAGAGGAAUGCUUGCAGAGUUUGCAGAACCGUAUUGAUGUAGCUUAUGACAGCACCAUACCUCUGCAUCAGGUCUCACAUCACAUCACAUCACAAGCCAUGUCGUUAGUUAAUGGGAAUGCUGCUUUAGCCAAAGGUGCCGGUAGGGGAAGAGGGGUAUCAGGUUGACUGACUUAGAGCCUGAACCUUUGGAGGUUCGUCCAGCUGCUGCUUUAAACCGAGUUGGAUAGGCAGCUGAUCAGAAUAUUGCUGCGAAGGCAUGGAAGAAGAUUCUAGCAUGGGUCCCGUCACUGAAAGGGUACGUACAAGUUGGAACUUGGAAAUUCUCCUGUUUAUAAGACCGAGAGGAAACUCAUUUAGGGUGGCUUUGGUCAAGUUUAUGUUGGAUGAAGGAUGAGUGGUGGCAGUGAUAGGAUCGUAGCAGAUGCAGUUGAGGUAGCUCUGACACUUGAACACACCCAAAUAGUAAAGGAUGCAAUUUCGGCCCACCUAUACGAGUGGCAAGUGUACAAUACGCUCAUAGCUGUUAUCGAAUUCCUGCUGUACAUCACAAGGGUCGUCAAGGAGAUUUUUACAUUCUGGUCAUGGACAUAUGGCCUCUGGGAUGUUUGGAAUUCUUUAUAGCUCAAUCGAUGCCUCCAAACAUGGUGGCGUGUAUUGCAGUUGAAGCGAUCUCUAUUCUUGAGAAACUGCAUAUGAAGGGUGAGCUUCACACGAGAAGAAACAGUGUGACGAGAGAGAGAGAGAGAGGGAAGAGCUGAAAAGGCGGAACAACAACAUACAUGGGUUUUAUAGCAGCAGAAUGUUUUUUGCAAACCUUUCCUGUAAGGUAAAUAACUCUUUCUAUGCUACAGAUUCCCCAUCAGUCUUGAGUUUCUUUCUUUAUUUUAAACUACUUAUGUCUUGAUGAUUUUGAUCAACAACAAGAAGAUUUCAAAAAGCCUUUAAUUUUAUGGUUUUUUCAAAACCCUAAGAUCGAUUGUUUUUGUUUUGAUGUAUUGGUUUUCCACUUCAGACCCCCAAAAAGAUCUUAAACAGACACUAAUUUUAUAGUGUUCUGUCAUAUUCUUAUUUUGGGAACAUUGUCCCUUCGCUGCCCCUAAAUGAAACAUAUAACCCACGGCUUAAGAAAGAUCUGUUUUUUGAUUAUUUGGAUGGAAGGGAUUAUAAGGACCAAUGGUUAAGAAAGUCUUUAAGACAAAAGACAAAAAUCAAAAACAGAUCUUUAUUUCGGUACCCACGGCUUGAGAGGUUUCUGUUUUUGAUUAUUUGAAUGGGAUGCAUUAAGAAAGUCUUUAAGACAAAAGACUAAAAUCAAAAACAGAUCUUUAUUUUAGUACCCACGGCUUGAGAGGUUCUUGUUUUUGAUUAUUAAGAAAGUCUUUAAGGCAAAAGACUAAAUCAAAAACAGAUCUAUAUUUUAGUACCCACGGCUUGAGAGGUUCCUGUUUUUGAUUAUUAAGAAAGUCUUUAAGACAAAAGACUAAAAUCAAAAACAUACCCUUGUUUUACUUACCCACGGCUUGAGAAGAUCAUGUUUUUGAUUAUUAAGAAAGUCUUUAAGACAAAAGACUAAAAUCAAAAACAGAUCUUUAUUUUUGUACCCACGGCUUGAGAGGUUCCUGUUUUUGAUUAUUUGAAUGGGAUGCAUUAAGAAAGUCUUUAAGGCAAAAGACUAAAAUCAAAAACAGAUCUUUAUUUUAGUACCCACGGCUUGAGAGGUUCUUGUUUUUGAUUAUUAAGAAAGUCUUUAAGACAAAAGACUAAAAUCAAAAACAGAUCCUUGUUUUACUUACCCACGGCUUGAGAAGAUCAUGUUUUUGAACGGAAUGGAUUAAGAAAGUCUUUAAGACAAAAGACAAUCAAAAACAGAUCUAUGUUUUACUUACCCACGGCUUGAGAAGAUCAUGUUUUUGAAUGGAAUUGACUAAGAAAGUCUUUAAGACAAAAGACUAAAAUCAAAAACAGAUCCUUGUUUUACUUACCCACGGCUUGAGAAGAUAUAUUUGGAUGGAAUGGGAGUUAUAAGUUAUAACUUAUAAGGAUCAAUGGUUUAAGAAAGUCCACAAGAGACUUGAGAAAUCAGAAACAGAUCCUUAUUUUACUACCCACGGCUUACAAAGACAGAGACAAAAGACAUGUCAGUUAAAAAACCCACGGCUUAUACAAAUCUUAGACAAAGAUGUAUAAGGCAUGUCAGUUAAAAAGACCCACUGUUUCAAAGUCUUUACCACCCACGGCUUAAGAAAAUCGGUUUUGAUUAUUUUGGAUGGAAUGGAGUGUAAUGACAAACACUUACAAGUCUUACAAAGACUACAAAUUCAAAACAGAUUCCUAAUAUUACCCACGGCUUACAAGAACCUUAAGACACAGACUUACAAAAGGAAAAGUAUAAAGACAAAGACAUAAGACAGGUCAGUUAAAAGUCCCACGGCUUAAUAGUCUUUACUACCCACGGCUUGAGAAAGAAGUUUUUGAUCAGUUGGAAUGGAGUGUAAUGACAAACACUUACAAAGACUACAAAUUCAAAACAGAUUCCUAAUAUUACCCACGGCUUACAAGAAUCUUAAGACACAGACUUACAAAAGGAAAAGUAUAAAGACAAAGCAUAAGACAGGUCAGUUAAAAGUCCCACGGCUUAAUAGUAUUUACUACCCACGGCUUGAGAAAGAAGUUUUUGAUUAGUUGGAAUAGAGUGUAAUGACAAACACUUACAAGUCUUACAAAGACUACAAACUAAAAACAGAUUCCUUAUAUUACCCACGGCUUACAAGAACCUUAAGACACAGACGUACAAAAAGAAAAGUAUAAAGACAAAGACAUAAGACAGGUCAGUUAAAAGUCCCAGACAUAAGACAGGUCAGUUAAAAGUCCCACGGCUUAAUAGUCUUUACUACCCACGGCUUGAGAAAGAAGUUUUUGAUUACUAGGAUUGACUGAGUUAAACAAUCAAAGGGUAAAGACAAAGAGGCUACAAAUUAAAAGCAGACACACUAGUUCAUUACCCACGGCUUACAAAAGUCUCAAGACAGAGACUUAAAAAAGUAUUAACUCUUUACAAAAGUCUUAAAAGUAUUUGGACAAAGACAUAGAAGACAAAAAGACAUACACUUCACGGGUUCACCACUACCAACGGCUUGUGAAAGUUUACCCACGGCUUACAAAAGUUUUGUCUUUAAAAGACAAAAAGACAUACACUUCACGGGUUCACACUACCCACGGCUUACAAAAGUCUCAAGACAAAGACUUAUAAAUAGUUCACACUACCCACGGCUUAUAAAAGUCUCAAGAUAAAGACUUGCAAGAGUAUUAAGACAAAAGACUUACAAAGGUUUUAAAGUCUUCAGUAGUUCAUACUACCCACGGCUUACAAAACAUGUCUUUAAAAGACAAAAAGACAUACUUCACUAGCUCAUAAAAAUUGCCAAAGACUUCACACUACCCACGGCUUAUAAAAAUUUACCCACGGCUUACAGAAGUCUUAAGACAAAAGAUUUAUAAAAGUCUUAAAAAGUCUUUGGACAGAAACAUAGAAGACAUGUACUUCACUAGUUCAUAGUACCCACGGCUUAUAAAAGUUUACCCACGGCUUACAAAAGUAUUAAGACAAAAGACAUAAAAAGUAUUGUCUCAAGACAGAGACUAAAAUCAAACACAAAUUAAUAACAAAUUCCUUAAUAAGACUACAUGUAAGUAAAAACUAAUUAAUUUGAUUUUUUUCCAGGUUUGUGCUUUAGGAGGUCUAAGGAGAUUGCAAGUGUAGCAGACUUCUGUGACAGGUACGUCUCUUUGAUUUUGUUGAGUCUCAUGUAGAUAUAUAUUUUGAGGGUAUGUGAGACUUCUGUAGUUUGUGGUUGUAGUUUAUAUGUCCGAGAUAUUUUUAUUUGUGUUAUCCACUAGCCCUUCGUGAUCACAUAUGAUACGUUGCUGUAAUUUUUUUAAUUUAAUUUUGGUUGUUGUAUGAGUGUGCGCUGCAAGGUGGUGCAAGAGGAAGGGAGGGCAGAACGGUCUUUUUGGUAGUGCCUUGCCGAGGAAUUUCCGGAGAUCAUCGGAGGUGGUGGUGGUGGAGGAGCAGAAGCCUGUUGUGUUGACGGAUGAGAGAAGGACGAAACCGAGGAAGCAUAAGAAGACGGGUCGGUCUAAGAAGGAGAAACAGAGUUCGGUUCCUCUGUUGCCUUCUCCUCCUUGUCUAUCUUCAGAUCUAAGUGAAGAUGUUUGUCAAGGUGAUUUGGAGCGGAUUAGAGAGAAUAUCAACGAUCUGAUCAUGUGGAGAGAUGUUGCAAAGUCGACACUUUAGUGUUUUCUCAGCGGUCUCUCAUGUUGGGCUUUUGUUUCUUGGGGUUUCAUUUUUGUCACUCUCUUCGCCAAAGGGUAACAGAAGAGACAGAGCGGAGAGACGUUAAACUGAGUGAAGAGGUUGUGUUACGAGUAGCUAGAAGAAUGCUUCCAGUCACCAAUUUUGGCGAUUUCAGAGACGAGCCAGCUUUUCUCUGGCGAACCAGCAAUGACACUCAAAGUGGCACCCUUUGUUCUAAUCGGAGCAGAGUACGGUUACCUCAUAACAUUGUGGAGGCUAUGUGCUUUAGCGCUGAUGGUUUGAAGAUAUAUUGAACCAUUGGUGUAUUUAUUUAGCAUGUGCAACAUAUCUUUCUUGAUUUCUCUAUUAUGUUUUCUUGAACAUUCAGAAAGGGAAACAAAAAUUAUAGCAAAGAUGUAUAGGGAAAAUACAGGUACUGUAAGAAAACACCUAUAGUUGUACUGUAUAUCUUAUUGUUGUGAUAGAUAAACGCAAAUGCAUAUUCAAGACAAACAAAAGGAUCAGUGAUAGUCUAUAUCAUACGAUUGGAUUAACUCACCAGUCUCAGUCUUAAAGGCUUAUACUACCAAACUGAUUGCUCCAUUUUUUCUAGAUUCUACGUUAGUUUGUUUCCUCUAUUUUAUUUGAUUCAUGGCCGCCAAGUAGAUUUAUUUAAAUGUUCAGUGUAGUAAAUAAAAUGGACAUGUAUAUGAUUGUGCAUGUAGCAAAACUAAAUGUCUGGAAGAAUGUAGAUUUAUUUGUUGCAAAAGAAGGUAAAUUUUUCCAACUAAAAUAAGAGGUAAAUAGAUUUAGCAGAGACAAAAGAUCUAAUACGUGUUAAAAGAUUAGCAUCAGGAAUUAUGAUAGGUUGUUUAAGUCAUAAAUCAUAGCGAAUUUUCUAUUUUAACCUUUUAUACAUCAAAUUUUUUAAUGUCUGAUUUUUUACUUCAAAUUGAAGUUACAUCAACUUUCUAUUUUAAUUUUAUUGGUUUGAGAAAGCCAUAAAAAUAUAUUUCUGUAGUUUUAUUUCUUUUAAUUUAGUUUAACAAUUUCAUUUUGUUUUUAUUUUAAUUUCAGUAGAUUUAAAAAUUACAUUUUUAUGAAAACAAAAAUUUGUA